rnacentral:rRNA from 1 species
CGUCUAUAUACGUAUAGCAUAUCAAUAAGCGGAGGAAAAGAAACUAACUAGGAUUCCCUUAGUAACGGCGAGUGAAGCGGGAAGAGCUCAAAUUUGAAAUCUUCAAGGUUUUACCUUGACGAAUUGUAGUUUAAAGAAGUGUUUUCUGUUGGUGUUUUGGUAAAAGUUCUUUGGAAUAGGACAUCAUAGAGGGUGAGAGUCCCGUAUUUGACCAUUACUUCCAGCGUUGUGAUACACUUUCAAAGAGUCGGAUUGUUUGGGAAUGCAGUCCAAAAUGGGUGGUAAAUUUCAUCUAAAGCUAAAUAUUGGCGAGAGACCGAUAGCGAACAAGUACCGUGAGGGAAAGAUGAAAAGAACUUCGAAAAGAGAGUUAAACAGUACGUGAAAUUGUCAAAAGGGAAGCGUUUGACACCAGUGUUGUUUUUCCGAAAAUCAAUUAAGAAUGGCUGGAUUUUAAGUUUCAUGACCUUAAAAGCUUGUUUCUUAUUUUUCAUGUCUUUCGUAAUGCACUUUUCGGUUAACAAGUCAACAUCAAUUUCUUUUGUUGUAAAAGGUUAUGAGGAAGGUGGCUUUACUUUCGGGUAAAGUGUUUAUAGCCUCUUAACUCUGCAAUCGGAGAGAUUGAGGUCUGCAGCGUAGAUCCUUCGGGGUUAGAUACAUUUGUGCUAAGUUAUAGCUUUUCAUAGACAACUUGUUGACUAUGUUAAGUCUUGUAAUUUACUCGCAGAUGCUAUUUUACCUACGCUUAGGAUGUUGACACACGCGCGUGCUCG